rnacentral:lncRNA from 1 species
AGAACAUGAUUUUACAAAUUUUCUGGGAUUUAUUUGGACCAAUUUGGAGUUCAAAAUCAAAGGAUAUCAAAGGAAUAAGAAAAACAUAAAAAGAAAAGGGUAUUUAAAUAGAAAAACAGAAAAAGAUAUCAAUGUAAAGAUGCUCACACCUUUUUGAAUGGAACUAGUGCCCAAAAUUUUGUUUUAUUGUUCUCUGUCCAAUGGGACAGAGAAAUAAAUAUUUUGAAUUAAUCUAUUUGGCUGAUGCCAAUAAAAUCUCAUUUUAGGGUUUAAGCUCUAGCCUUUGUUUUUGCUUAAAAACCCUAAUUGCAUGUGCUUAAUUCUCAAGGCCUUGGAUCAGUAGAUCACCCAAAUAAAAUAAACCAAACUCAUGUCAUAU